AUCGAACGCUGGCGGCAGGCCUAACACAUGCAAGUCGAGCGGGGUUUUCGGACCUAGCGGCGGACGGGUGAGUAAUGCGUAGGAAGCUACCCGAUAGAGGGGGAUACCAGUUGGAAACGACUGUUAAUACCGCAUAAUGUCUACGGACCAAAGUGUGGGACCUUCGGGCCACAUGCUAUCGGAUGCGCCUACGUGGGAUUAGCUAGUUGGUGAGGUAAUGGCUCACCAAGGCGACGAUCCCUAGCUGGUUUGAGAGGAUGAUCAGCCACACUGGAACUGAGACACGGGCCAGACUCCUACGGGAGUCAGCAGUGGGGAAUAUUGGACAAUGGGCGCAAGCCUGAUCCAGCCAUGCCGCGUGUGUGAAGAAGGCCUUCGGGUUGUAAAGCACUUUCAGUAGGGAGGAAGCGUUGUGUGUUAAUAGUACACAGCGUUGACGUUACCAACAGAAGAAGCACCGGCUAACUCUGUGCCAGCCGCCGCGGUAAGAC
rnacentral:rRNA from 1 species